GUGGAGUUUUUCAUCAAACAGAAAGAGAUUUUCUGAACCGAUGACACUUCUGGAGUGGCUGUGACCGGUCUUACACCUGGAACAAAAAACAGAAAUGGGUUUUAUUGCCUAAAUUCAUUACACUUCGAACAGAUCAGGCCGACGCUCAGGCUUCUGCUGCAGAAGAGAGCAGAUCAAAUGGCAGCAACCUGUGCAGAAAGAUGGAGAGACGUCUGAUUAUUACCGUAAACUUUACAUCCACUCUUCUGAAUCCUUAUUCUAAGAUCUUCAGGUCAAAAGUAUCUGGAAAGUAUCCGCACAGCAUUCUGAACAAGAGGAUCCCCAGAGUCCAGACCGUCGCCGGCUUUCCAUGAAACUCGCCCUUCAUCCUGUACUCGGGAGGGCAGUACAUGAUUGUGCCUGG